rnacentral:rRNA from 1 species
CAGCCGUAAACUAUGCGCGUUAGGUGUAUCGGUGACCACGAGUUACCGAGGUGCCGAAGGGAAACCGUGAAACGUGCCGCCUGGGAAGUACGGUCGCAAGGCUGAAACUUAAAGGAAUUGGCGGGGGAGCACCACAACAGGUGGAGCCUGCGGUUUAAUUGGACUCAACGCCGGACAACUCACCGGGAAUGACAGCAAUAUGUAGGCCAGGCUGAAGACCUUGCCUGAAUCGCUGAGAGGAGGUGCAUGGCGUAGACGUCU